UACGGAGGGUGCGAGCGUUGUCCGGAAUCACUGGGCGUAAAGGGCGCGUAGGCGGCCUGAUAAGUAGGGGGUGAAAUCCUGCGGCUUAACCGCAGGGCUGCCUUCUAAACUGUCGGGCUAGAGCACGGUAGAGGCAGAUGGAAUUCCCGGUGUAGCGGUGGAAUGCGUAGAGAUCGGGAAGAACAUCAGUGGCGAAGGCGGUCUGCUGGGCCGUUGCUGACGCUGAGGCGCGACAGCGUGGGGAGCGAACAGG
rnacentral:rRNA from 1 species